GAAAUGCGAUAAGUAAUGUGAAUUGCAGAAUUCAGUGAAUCAUCGAAUCUUUGAACGCACAUUGCGCCCGCCAGCACUCUGGCGGGCAUGCCUGUUCGAGCGUCAUUUCAACCCUCAGAACCCCUUGCGGGAUCUGGCGUUGGGGAUUGGCAUCCAGCCAGCCCCGAAAUCUAGUGGCGGCGGCGCCCCCGGAUCGAGCGACCAAGGCCCCACGGCCCCGCUGAGAUCCCGAGGGCAGCGCUGGCCACGCUCCCCCCCAGGGCGCGCGGAGCGAAAAGCACCCCCAAGCGGUUGACCUCGGAUCGGGCAGGGAUACCCGCUGAACUUAAGC
rnacentral:misc_RNA from 1 species